ACAGCCACAUCAUGCUGAAACACAAGUCCCCGUAUGAUCACUGAAGUUAAGAAACGUUGAACUGGAUCAGUACUGGGAUGGGUGACCACUUUGUAAUUCUUGUUGCUGCAAG